UGGUAAGGUGGGAGACACAGGACA
rnacentral:piRNA from 1 species